GUCUACCCUGUUAACUGCCGGGCGGUCCGUGGUUCCCAAAGUUUCCUGGUUAUCGCUCUGUCCUACCCCGUCCAGAUUACCCACGUUACCUUGGAACACAUCCCUCGUAACGUGUCACCCACUGGACACAUAAACAGCACUCCAAAGGACUUCACCGUUCAUAGCUGCUCCUGUUUAAGGGGUUCCAGGGUGUAAUGUGACACAGCCUAAUUCUUAUACACUCCUGCACUUCCCUUGAACUGACACAUGAAAACGAGGAAGGAAAACCUCUUGGAACAUUUACCUAUGACCAAGAUGGAGAAACCAUCCAGAUCUACCAACUUCCUGAGUCUCCCAGUGAGGUGUACUGCCUGGUGGAACUACCGGUCCACAGUAACUGGGGUCACCCAGAGUACACC